ACCAAUAAUGCUGGUUUUAAUCAACCAACAUCAUCGACGAAUGUUGAUCCAAAAACCGGAAUGUUAUUGAAUUUUAAAUCAUCAAAUAUGAUGACAAGUGCACCGGUAUCACCACAACCAACAGCCGCCACCGGAUCAUCAUCAUCAUCAUCAACAGCAACAGCAGCAUCGAAUGUAUCAAGAGGUGUUACAGGUCUUUUAUCACGUGCAACAUCAUUAACAGGAAGUAGUUUGGUAACGAAUACAGUGCAACAAAUUGCACGUGCUACAUCACAAGUUGCUGCUGUUAUUAAAGAUCGACAUAAAAUUCUAUUAAUUAUUGAUGAUCAUUUAGUUGAUUGGUCGAAAUAUUUUCGUGGAAGAAGAUUAAUUGGUGAUUGGGAUAUUAAAGUUGAACAGGCUGAAUUUAAAGAUAUAAAUUUAUCGGCCAAUUGUGAACAUGGAGCUAUCGUAUCCAUUUAUACUGUUGAUCGUAAUGGUUUUCGUAUUGCACGAACAUUUCGUCCAGAUUUUGUAUUGAUUCGUCAACAUAUACAGGAUGGUAAUCAAAAUUAUAGCGAUAUUAUUGUUGGUUUAAAAUAUGGCCUAGUACCAUCGAUUAAUUCAUUACAAAGUUUUUAUAAUUUUCAGGAUAAAGCAUGGGUGUUUGCCAAUUUAUUGGCCAUACAACGAAAACAAGGCAAAGAAUCAUUUCCAUUAAUUGAACAAACAUUUUAUCAAACAUAUAAAGAUUCGAGCGGUGUACCAAAAUUACCUUGUGUAGUUAAAAUAGGAUCAUCAAGUUCGGGUUUAGGAAAAGUUAAAAUUGAAAAUAUUAAUCAAUAUCAAGAUAUACGUAGUGUUUUAAUGAUAACCGAUAAAUAUUGUACAAUCGAACCAUUUAUUGAUGCUAAAUGCGAUUUUAUUUUACAAAAAAUUGGUACCAAUUAUAAAACAUUUACACGAAAAUCUGUAUCAGGUAAUUGGAAAGCAAAUGUUGGAUCAGCAUUAUUGGAACAAAUAUCGUUUAAUGAUCGUUAUAAAAAAUGGAUAGAUAAUGUUUCCGAUUCAUUUGGUUGUUUAGAUAUUUGUUCAUUAGAAGGUAUUAUCGAUAAAGAUGGUAAAGAAUUUAUUGUUAAAGUACGUGGUUCGGAUAUGGCUUUGUUGGGCGAUACACAGGAAGAAGAUCGUAAAAAUAUUGUCGAAUUAAUCAUACAACGAAUGAAUGCUAUUUGCAAAAAUAUUUUAAUUAAACAACAAUCCCGAGCUAGCAUUUCGGCUAAUGAACCGGAAUCGAAUGAACAACAGCAACAACAACAACAAUCGAAACGUCCAUCACUAACAUCGAUGACCAAUCAGCCACAAUCAUCACAGCCACCAACAACAUCCGUACCACCACCGAUUAUGAAUCGUAGAGGCUCAAAAGAAUCAAGCGGUCCAUCAUUUUCGACGGGUAAUCGUCCAUUACCGCCUAAACCACCCCCACCAUCAUCAUCAACAAAUCCACCGUAUAAAGCACCGCCACCACCACCACCGCCGCCAUCAUCAGCAUCAACAGUUCCUUCUGUUGUUUCUGCAACAACCAACAAGACAAUCAAUGAAAUUAAUUCAACUAAUCCGUUUGCAAGUUCAUUCGAUCCAACAGUAAACAUUAAUGAUGAACAACAACAACAACAAAAACAACCACCACCAUUAAAUAAACGUGAUUCACAGAAUGCAAUCGUCGGUGAAAUAAAAGAAGAAGUAGAUGAUACAAUGCGAAAUUUACGUAAAACAUUUGCCGGAAUUUUCGGUGAUAUGUAACCGAUAUUCAAACAGAAAAAAAUAUGAAUGAUAAUGGUAAUUCACAGUCAAUUACCUAGAUCAGUGAUUCUCAACCCGUGUGCCGCGGCACUUUGGUGUGCCGCGAAAUUCUGAAAAUGCAACUGUU